AAAUUUUAACCUAAGGCGAACUUAAUCUCACAUUUAAUAAAUUAUACAUAAAUAAGUGUUUUGAGAAGUAGUAUUUUAAUCUAUGUUCUGUGAAUGACAAGUGUUAUCUGUCAAGUGUCAAAAAACUUGAAAAACUUUUACGAAGUUUUUGAAUUAUGUUAAAUUUGUUUAUAAACACAAUGCCAAAGGCAAGAAUAAUUGCCCACGCCAGAUGGAGACCCAGCUAAAUAAUGUAGUAACAGCGCGUGGUCGUGUGAUGAGGGUUCCUUGACUUGAGUUCUGGCGCAACACGUCCUGGGCACUAAACAAGAUUGGGGAUGGGACGUCUAAAGAGGUGCAAGCCUGGAAAACGCUCUCGUCUUGCUCUACAGCACUUGCACUUGUCCCACCAUCUACCAGUGUUGGAACUCUUCCAAUAAUUACCCACACCCAGGUGGAGAAUACUCCAGUUGCUGCUACUGCUACUCUAAAAUAUCUCUCAUCUUGUUCUACAGCGCCUGCACCUGUCCUACCAUCUACUAGUGUUGGAACUCUUCGAAGUGUAUUAAUGAUUAUUAUUUUAGUAACCAUAAAAGUUUAAAACAAUACAUUUUAUUGCAUAAUUAUUUGUUAGAAAAAAAUGAUGUAAAAUGAGUAGGGAGGCUGUUGAUUUUUCAUGGUUAUUUUAUAUCUUGUUGAUUGUUCCAAAAAAAACUAAGUUUUCAAGAAUGCUGUGAUUA